AAACUUGUUUUUUUGUCUAAAUCUUUGUCCACAAUGAUCACAAGAUAAAAGCUUCUGUCCUGUAUGGAUUCCCAUGUGUGCUUUUAAAUUAGAGUUUUGGU